rnacentral:rRNA from 1 species
GGGGGGGGGGGGGGGGGGGGUGGGGGGGGGCGGGGCGGGCGGGGGGGCCCGGCUGUUGGGGGGGGGUCGGGGGGGGGCCGGGUGAGUGACACGUGGGUAACCUGCCCUUGGCUUUGGGGUAGCUUCCGGAAACUGGGGCUAAUACCGGAUAGGCGCGCCUGCUGCGUGGUGGGGGUUGGAAAGUGUCGGCGGUUGGGGAUGGUCUCGCGGCUUCUCAGCUUGUUGGUGGGGUAGUGGCUUCCCAAGGCUUUGACGGGUAGCCGGCCUGAGAGGGUGGCCGGCCACAUUGGGACUGAGAUACGGACCAGACUCCUACGGGCGGCAGCAGUGGGGAAGAUUGCACAAUGGGCGGAAGCCUGAUGCAGCAACGCCGCGUGCGUGAUGACGGCCUUCGGGUUGAAAACCGCUUUCGCCUGUGACGAAGCGUGAGUGACGGUAAUGAGUAAAGAAGCACCGGCUAACUACGUG